rnacentral:rRNA from 1 species
GACAGAGGGUGCAAACGUUGCUCGGAAUCACUGGGCGUAAAGGGCGUGUAGGCGGGCAUGUAAGUCGGGCGUGAAAGCCCCAGGCUCAACCUGGGAACUGCACUCGAAACUGCGUUUCUUGAGUAUCGGAGAGGAAAGCGGAAUACCUGGUGUAGAGGUGAAAUUCGUAGAUAUCAGGUGGAACACCAGUGGCGAAGGCGGCGUUCUGGACGAUUACUGACGCUGAGACGCGAAAGCGUGGGGAGCAAACAGG